rnacentral:rRNA from 1 species
UACAGAGGUCCCAAGCGUUGUUCGGAUUCAUUGGGCGUAAAGGGUGCGUAGGUGGCGCCGUAAGUGGGGUGUGAAAUUUCGGAGCUUAACUCCGAAACUGCAUUCCAUACUGCGGUGCUUGAGGACUGGAGAGGAGACUGGAAUUUACGGUGUAGCAGUGAAAUGCGUAGAGAUCGUAAGGGAAGACCAGUGGCGAAGGCGGGUCUCUGGACAGUUCCUGACACU